rnacentral:lncRNA from 1 species
CCUGAUUCCGCAAUGUUACCCUGCCAAAACGCACACCAAACCAUUCAUUAAAAGUUCAUACGAUCAAAAACUACCCAGAGUUUCUCACUGGAACUCUGGAUUAGUUGAACUAAACCGCCAAUCGGGACCUGUGAUAUCGAAACGAAGAAGAAGCAAAGAGCGCAAGAGGAUGAAGUAAGGGAAAGAGCAGAGAAAUACCUGAAGCAGAGGAAAUCUCCCCUUCUCUUUGUCGGUAUCCUUUCACAUUUAUUCAUUUCUUGUUGAAAACCUCUAACAUGGUUGAUAUUUGUUCAAAAAUUGAGUUUGCACUUCAAUUUCCACCGCAUUGCGUAACGACUUAGUAACCAUUGGACGAGAGUGUCGGUCUCAAUUGUGGUUUAGACUAUAUCACAUGAACUCUUUGCAUUUUAUGCUUCUCUAUUCGUAUGCGAUUUGUUUGAGUAGUAGGUUCUUAUUUGAGAAAUUUGGGAUUCAGGGUAUGAUCAAGGGUUAUGUAUGUAUGAUCUUGUUGUUCACCAUAGAUGAAUUUUGUUUUAGAUUUGUGCUUAGGGUUUGGGUUGGGCCACACGAUUGUGGUUUCGGAAAAAAUGGAGAGAAGAGUUUUGAUUCAGAAGAAAACAUAGAAACAUAGAGAGAGAGAGGAAGGUUGUCUCUACGUUUUCAUAUGGUGUUAGUUUUAUUUUUGUUUAUGACUAGUUAAUUGUAGGAUUUAAUAUUAAUUAGUGGCAGAUCAUUCAAUAUUGGGAAAGGUUACUAAUCAGUGGUAACAGUGCCCAUGCAAUGAGCACCGCCGCUCCACCUUCCCAAGAAGUUGCACGUGUCUCCAUGGGAGUCUAACCGUCACAGGGAAGCUGUACAGCUGUCCCUCUUUUGGUUUCAUCUUUAGAUGCCUUGUCUGAUGGGCUCAAGAGGAGUUGGGCUUAAGGCCCACUCCGACCCAUGGUUUGCUUUUUCUUUCCUUUCUUUUUUUUCUAUGCUCAGUUUUGACUUGGUCAUAAAGAGGGGUUUUGGGCCUUAGGGCCCAUUACGAGAUAUUAGUGCUAGGGCCUUAUUUUGGGCUUCGCUUAUAGUUUACCUUCUUUCAAACUUCAUCUCUUUCUUAUUUCCCAUACAUCUUGAUUUAUUACUUUAAUUAAAAAGAUAACACUAAUAUUAGAAAUAUUUAUUAAUUCGGUUUCGAUUAUUAUUUUCAACUCAUUUUUUAUCUUGUUAGAAUAUUACAAUUAAUUAAAUGGUGGAUUAAAUGGUUAAUGUCAACAAACAAUUUACUUUAUUUUUAAAAAAAAAAAUUGAUUUUGAUCCAAUACCAAAUAGUCUUUCUCAAAGUAUAUUAAUUCUAAGUAAAUUCAAAUUCACCAUAUUUAAAUAGUAUUCUCUUAAAAUUAUUUAAUUUAAUUUUGAAUGAAAAGGAGAAUAGUAAGCCUCUGAUUCACUAUCUCUCGACUAUUCGAAUAAUUGGCGUACGCCAUAUUGCUCGGAUUUUCGUCAUUCAAUUAAAACCCUAAAAACUCUAUAAAAUUAAAAUCACUUCCUCAAGUUAAUUAUAAAUCCUAAAAGUUUCAUUAUCUAAAUUAAUUUUGGAUGAAAAGGGGAAUAGUAAGCCUCCGCUUCACUAUCUCUCGACUAUUCGAAUAAUUGACGUACGCCAUAUUGCUCGGAUCUUCGUCAUUCAAUAAAAACCCUAAUAAUCAUACAAAAUACAAAUCAUCUUCCUAAAUUAGGGUAAUACUCAAAAUAUAUCUUUUUAUAAAUUUGGGAUGAAAAAGACAAAAUACAAAUCAUCUUCCUAAAUUAGGGUAAUACUCAAAAUAUAUCUUUUUAUAAAUUUGGGAUGAAAAAGGAGAUAGGAAGCGUUCGCUUCACUAUUUCUCAAGCACUUGAAUAAUUGGCGUAUCCCAUAUUGCUCGAGUUCUUGUCACUCGAUUAAACCUUAAUCAUACAUUUUCAAAUCGAUUUUUCAAAUCAAAAAUAGGUUCUAAAUUCAAAUCAUUUCUAAACAUCAAACCUCAAUAUUCAAAUCACGUCUCCAAAAUCAAUUCCAAAUUUCAAAUUCUUUUUAUUAUUUCCGAUAAUUAAGGAUAGGAGGCGUACGCCUCACUAUAUUUCGAUUAUUCGAAUAAUUGACGUACGCCACAUUGCUCGAAUCUUCGUCAUCAAUUCAAAACCACAAUCGAAUAAACUCAAAUCACCUUUUAUAUAGAACACAAUUUUACAAAGUAAACUUUACAAAUUAAACUUCAAUUGAAAAUGGGAGGCGUUCGCCUCACCAUUACUUGAUUAUUUGAAUAAUUGGCGUACGCCACAUUGCUCAAAUUAUCGAUCCAAACCUACCAAAAUUCAAAUUAUUUUCACAAAUCAAAUACGACAUCUAAAGACAUAUCUUUUACAAUUUAAACCUCGGAUGAUAAAAGAUGGGAGGCGUUCGCCUCCCAUCUCAUCGACUUAUUGAAUAAUUGGCGUUAUAGCCAUCUAUUGCACAAUUAAUCGACUUCCGACUAAAACACGCUAAAUAAACUUGGAUAAGGGAAUAGGUGGCGCUCGCCUCAUUAUUCUUUGAAUAAGCAAGUAGGAGGCGUACGCCUCACUACCGUGCAUAUUCAACAUCCGCAAAUAAACUUUCAAAAAUAAUUAGAACGAAAAAGGAGUAGAAGGCUUUCGCCUUAUUAUUCCUCGAAAAAAUUGGACGAUUGGUGUGCACCACAUUGCUCAAUCUUUCGUUGUUCUUCAAAAACAUCUCAUACACAUCAAACCUAAUUUCUCGCCCCCGCGCGAUCGAAACCAAACUAAAACACCCAAACACGUCAAUUCAAAUCGUCACCCUCGCGUGACCAAAACCCUUUUCAAAAGAACACUGUUAAUCCUUUCUAAUACGCACAACAAACUAGUGCUUAAGCCUCCCCCGAGAGUAGACAAGCCAGCGUUUAGCCUUUAGAACAUCGACCUACACAGUCGUUCAUCAAAGAAAAACACACCAAAUAUUCGUAGUAGCCUGAACUACGAAUGCUCUGAUUUCCUUAUUGCACCAUAAGGAUACGUAGACAGGAGAUUGUUGUAUCUUCGCGAGCACACUAAUAAAAAACCUCAUUUUUUCCCUCCUGAGGUCUUCAUCCAUAUCUAUCAUAAAUUCUAAUCACUCGAAGCAAGCAAAUAACAGUCAAUUAACAAUCAAAUAGCAAAUCAGACUAAAAGGUUCCCAUUGAGUACAACGGACGUUAGGGGUGCUAAUACCUUCCCUUUGCGUAAUCGACUCCCGAACCCAAAUAUGGUUGCAACGACCAUUAUUCUUAUUUCUAAAGGUUUUCUCGAUAUUUUCCUAUUCCUUCAUUGGAAUAAAUAAAGUUCGGUGGCGACUCUGUUUCGAACAACAUUUUUUCCGCGUUCCAUCGCGAGGGAUCGCAUUUUUUCGAGGUGCGACAGACUGGCGACUCUACUGGGGACCCUGCUCCAAGCAAGAGAGAGUCUAGCCUAGCUUAGCUUGAUUUUGCUAUGACUGUUAGAAGAUGUUCUCAUCUUCCAUGCUUGUUUCUCUGUAUUUUAUUAUGUUGCUUGUAUGUAAUGUAUUUUGAUACUAUAAUAUGGGACUUGGUGUAUGCUGUGAGAUAAGCGCCAUACCCGAGCUUCGAGAAGAACUUAGAACCCGAAGUUGUGUAGUAUUGAACCGAGGGGUGUACACCUCAUUGGGACAAUACGAAGACUCCACCUAGAGUAGAUCUGUUUGGAAUUUCCAUCACAAUAUGGCUAGCCCAUUAUUGCGGGGAGGUUCUAAAUACGAUCCGUGACUCUAGGGACCUCGCCUUAAACCCAAGUUUUGUUUUCAUGAUUGGUGAUUAUGUAGUAUUGAACCGAAGGGUCUACGCCCUGUUCGAACAAUACGAGAAUCCCACUUAGAUUAGAUCAUUUCAGAACUCCCAUCAUGAUGUGGCUAGCCCACCAUUGCGAGGAAGUUUUGAACUUGAUCCGUGAGUCUGAGUUCCUUCCUUGAAAACAUAACUUUAGAACCUACCUUUGGGGAAUUUCUAAUCAGAGAAACCUUUGCUUCUUCCAGUUAUACUGACGUACCCGACGUGUGAAUGAUCAUGAGUAUCUGUAUUCCUUGCGAAAAACAUGGAAAAAUAUCAUGCAUUGGCAUAUCAUAAACAUGCAUUGCAUAUCAUAUCCCAGAAACAAAAACUUACACCACAUUCUACCCUUUGUCCAGUAAUGCUGACUACUCGACACCGGUGCGAGACACGCCACAGCUACAAGAUGACGCUUGAACAACUUGAAGCCAACCAGGUUUCAAUGAGGAUAGACAUUGACUCCAUGCAGACAAAGAUGGAUCGCUUGCUGGAAACCAUGUUGCUCCUAGACCAGAAGGAGAAGGAUGUUGAGACUAGCGCCGAAGCCAGGAAAGUUGCUUCCCAGUUUGGAUCGUCGUCACUUAGCAUCCUUGGAGUAAUUGAACUUGAUGGUAACCCCGCCCAGCCUAGAGGAGGACUAAUCCCUAUUCCGAUCCCCAUGGUCAACAUGAACCCCCAUGAGCAUUCUGCUACAUCUGCUUGACAUGGAUCAAUGAUGGGUGAUGAAGAUCCGUAUGACGCUUUCUCCAUCGGCCUGAACAAGCAGAGC